AAUACAAUGCAGCUGUAACUCAACCAAAUCGACGAUGCAUUACCUUCCAUCGCAGAACCAACAGCAGCAGCUAGCCAGCUAAUGUUAGCUAGAAAACUAAAAGAAAGGAAUUAGUUUUGGGGACCUACUGUUGGAGUAAGAUCAACUGUGGAGCCAGGAACUGCUGUAGGACUAUGAUCAUCUGUGGGGUCAGGAGCUACUGAAGGAUCAACUCUGGAACCAGGUGCUACUCUUGUGGCAGGAUCUACUG